rnacentral:lncRNA from 1 species
UUCCAGAAUCUUCAUUAUUACUCCUUAUAAGGAAAUGUUGCCAGUGAAAAAGAAAACACUCCCAUGCAAACACGGGCAAUUUAACUGGAUACCUUUUAUGAGGUACAGUCUGCAGAGAAGGGCACGGUUGAAUGGGGUCAAUCAGGAGAUGGGAGAUGUGGCAAUCUGGGAUUUCCCUUGUCUUCUGACUUCUACCCUGGUGGAAACUGAACCCCAGCAGUACUCUCACUCAAGCUCUUGA